rnacentral:SRP_RNA from 1 species
CCGUGCUAGACGGGGAGGUAGCGGUGCCCUGUAACUCGCAAUCCGCUGUAGCGAGGUUGAAUUCCUGUUAGAGGUUGUGCGAUGCAAGGCUGGCGUCUGUGAAGCGUGUUGACGGUCGGGUCCUCCGCAAUGGGCGCCUGUGAAUCUGGUCAGGUCCGGAAGGAAGCAGCCAUAAGCAGGUUAGCCCAUGUGCCGGAGGGGUGCCUGGCCCGAGCGUGGAUCAGAAGUGCCGCUUGGAUCGCAUACAUCGAAGACAGGUGCACGG